AUUGAACGCUGGCGGCAGGCUUAACACAUGCAAGUCGAGCGGAGAGAGGUAGCUUGCUACUGAUCUUAGCGGCGGACGGGUGAGUAAUGCUUAGGAAUCUGCCUAUUAGUGGGGGACAACAUUUCGAAAGGAAUGCUAAUACCGCAUACGUCCUACGGGAGAAAGCAGGGGAUCUUCGGACCUUGCGCUAAUAGAUGAGCCUAAGUCGGAUUAGCUAGUUGGUGAGGUAAAGGCUCACCAAGGCGACGAUCCGUAACUGGUCUGAGAGGAUGAUCAGUCACACUGGAACUGAGACACGGUCCAGACUCCUACGGGAGGCAGCAGUGGGGAAUAUUGGACAAUGGGCGAAAGCCUGAUCCAGCCAUGCCGCGUGUGUGAAGAAGGUCUUCGGAUUGUAAAGCACUUUAAGUUGGGAGGAAGGGUUGUAAGCUAAUAUCUUGCAGCUUUGACGUUACCAACAGAAUAAGCACCGGCUAACUCUGUGCCAGCAGCCGCCGUAAGAC
rnacentral:rRNA from 1 species